AUUGAACGCUGGCGGCAGGCUUAACACAUGCAAGUCGAGCGGAGAUGAGGUGCUUGCACCUUAUCUUAGCGGCGGACGGGUGAGUAAUGCUUAGGAAUCUGCCUAUUAGUGGGGGACAACAUUCCGAAAGGGAUGCUAAUACCGCAUACGUCCUACGGGAGAAAGCAGGGGAUCUUCGGACCUUGCGCUAAUAGAUGAGCCUAAGUCGGAUUAGCUAGUUGGUGGGGUAAAGGCCUACCAAGGCGACGAUCUGUAGCGGGUCUGAGAGGAUGAUCCGCCACACUGGGAAUGAGACACGGCCCAGACUCCUACGGGAGGCAGCAGUGGGGAAUAUUGGACAAUGGGGGGAACCCUGAUCCAGCCAUGCCGCGUGUGUGAAGAAGGCCUUAUGGUUGUAAAGCACUUUAAGCGAGGAGGAGGCUACUGAGACUAAUACUCUUGGAUAGUGGACGUUACUCGCAGAAUAAGCACCGGCUAACUCUGUGCCAGCCGCCGCAGUAA
rnacentral:rRNA from 1 species